UACAGAGGGUGCGAGCGUUAAUCGGAAUUACUGGGCGUAAAGGGUGCGUAGGUGGUUAUGUAAGUUAGGUGUGAAAUUCCUGGGCUUAACCUGGGGACUGCGCCUGAUACUGUGUAGCUAGAGUACUGUAGAGGAAAGUGGAAUUUCCGGUGUAGCGGUGAAAUGCGUAGAUAUCGGAAGGAACAUCGGUGGCGAAGGCGACUUUCUGGACAGCUACUGACACUGAGGCACGAAGGCCAGGGGAGCAAACGGG
rnacentral:rRNA from 1 species